AAUGAACGUUGGCGGCGUGGAUUAGGCAUGCAAGUCGAGCGAGAACCGUAGCAAUACGGGGACAGCGGCGAAAGGGAGAGUAAUACGUGGAUACCUACCCUCGGGUUCGGGAUAGCUGCGGGAAACUGCAGGUAAUACCGAAUAACAUCUCCGGAUCAAAGGUGUGAUUCCGCCCGGGGAGGGGUCCGCGUCCUAUUAGCUUGUUGGUGAGGUAACGGCUCAACAAGGCGAAGAUGGGUACGGGGUGUGAGAGCAUGCCCCCGCCCACUGGGGCCUGGACACUGCCCAAACACCUACGGGUGGCUGCAGGCGAGAAUCUUCGGCAAUGGGCGCAAGCCUGACCGAGCGAAGCCGCGUGCGAGAUGAAGGCCUUCGGGUUGUAAAUCGCUGUCAGUGGGGAGGAAAUGCCAUAGGGUUCUCUCUAUGGUUUGACCUAUCCGCAGAGGAAGGAUGGGCUAAGUUCGUGCCAGCCGCCGCGGUAA
rnacentral:rRNA from 1 species